AAGUUAGGAAGAAGAUUAAACCACAUUUAGUUUAUUGAUAUAUCGUAUCUAAUAAUAUAUAUAUAUAAGGUAAAAACAAAAUUUUGCAAUUUUGCAAACAAAAACAAAAUUUUGUUUGUUAUUUUGCAUCACGCAAACGGAAAUUCUUGUUUUUCUUUGAUAAAUGUGUUAUAGAGGGGAUUCAUUCCUAUAUAUGCGAUCCACUUUAAACAAUGAUUAGUUUUACAUGUUCAAGAUUCCAUCAUCAAAAUGAAUUUGAUAUUCAUGGGUAACAAUGAUCUUUCUCUCGAUGAAACACUCAUCAUAAAAAAUAUAAUUGAAGAUGUAAUUAUACCGUUAGAUCUACAACAUCAUUUAACAUUUGCCUUCAUCAAUGUAGGAGAUCCGCCACUAGACGAUCAAGAACACUAUAUGAAAAUAGUACAUUUUUUAAAUUAUACGUUUAAAGUAAGAUUAGAUAUAAUAUGUAAUAGAACGAUACUUCAUCUUGAUAUAUGGAAAGUAUCAUGUUAAUUUUAAAAAUAUCAGUUAUCUGUAUUGUGUUGUAUUAUUGUAUGUAUCUAAAAAUCAAAUAAAACACUUGUAAUAAAA